GACGAACGCUGGCGGCGUGCUUAACACAUGCAAGUCGAACGGUAAGGCCUUCGGGUACACGAGUGGCGAACGGGUGAGUAACACGUGGGUGAUCUGCCCUGCACUUUGGGAUAAGCCUGGGAAACUGGGUCUAAUACCGAAUAGGACCACGCGCUUCAUGGUGUGUGGUGGAAAGCUUUUGCGGUGUGGGAUGGGCCCGCGGCCUAUCAGCUUGUUGGUGGGGUAAUGGCCUACCAAGGCGACGACGGGUAGCCGGCCUGAGAGGGUGACCGGCCACACUGGGACUGAGAUACGGCCCAGACUCCUACGGGAGGCAGCAGUGGGGAAUAUUGCACAAUGGGCGCAAGCCUGAUGCAGCGACGCCGCGUGAGGGAUGACGGCCUUCGGGUUGUAAACCUCUUUCAGUAGGGACGAAGCGCAAGUGACGGUACCUAUAGAAGAAGGACCGGCCAACUACGUGCCAGCAGCCGCGGUAA
rnacentral:rRNA from 1 species